rnacentral:rRNA from 1 species
CAGGCCUACGGGACGCAGCAGUGGGGAAUAUUGCGCAAUGGGGGCAACCCUGACGCAGCAACGCCGCGUGAUUGAAGAAGGCCUUCGGGUUGUAAAGAUCUUUAAUCGGGGACGAAUUUUGACGGUACCCGAAGAGUAAGCUCCGGCUAACUACGCGCCAGCAGCCGCGGUAAUACGUAGGGAGCAAGCGUCAUCCGGAUUUACUGGGUGUAAAGGGAGCGCAGACGGCUGUGCAAGUCUGAAGUGGACGCCCGUGGCUCAACCGCGGAACAGCUUUGGCAACUGAAUAGCUUGAGUACUGGAGG